rnacentral:lncRNA from 1 species
UUCUGAUCAUAUGUCAGAAGGAGGAUCAUCUGCUGUGGGUGUUCCUGAUCUUUGAGCCAUGAUAAUGUUACUGGUUGGAUGUCAGGAGCAGGCCAUGUGGAUGAUUAAAAGAUGAAUAUCAUAUACAGCAUGGAUAUGUUGGACAAAAAGAUGAUUCACAUCCCAGACAGAAUGGAGCAGCACAUUUAUUAAAAGCCAGAAGCUAGAAGACGAGGAAAGAAGAGGUGGUUAAAGAAAGAUACAGUAACAGCAGUAAUAUCUAACAGGAAGGCUACAGGGGAAAAUACAGAAAUUCCAUAAAGAACAAACACUGUAACUCAAAACCAAAGCUUUGCUAGUCACUAGUGCCCGCUACAUCCUAACAGAGACAGGGUCACCCUUUGUUGUCCACGCUGGGGUGCUGUGGCUAUUCACAGGCGUAAUCAUAGCUCACUGCAGUCUCCAACUCCUGGCCUCAAGCUGUCCUCCAGUCUCAGCCUCCAGAGUAGCUGAAACUACAGGUGUCUGCCACUGCCUCCAGCUCCC